UAAGGAAUAUUGGUCAAUGGGCGCAAGCCUGAACCAGCCAUGCCGCGUGAAGGAUGACGGCCCUAUGGGUUGUAAACUUCUUUUGUACGGGAAAAAACCCCCGGUCGUGUACCGGGGUUGAUGGUACCGUAAGAAUAAGCAUCGGCUAACUCCGUGCCAGCAGCCGCGGUAAUACGGAGGAUGCAAGCGUUAUCCGGAUUCAUUGGGUUUAAAGGGUGCGCAGGCGGAUUGGUAAGUCAGUGGUGAAAUCCUACGGCUCAACUGUAGAACUGCCAUUGAUACUGCCGAUCUUGAGUACACUUGAAGUGGGCGGAAUGUGUCAUGUAGCGGUGAAAUGCUUAGAUAUGACACAGAACACCGAUCGCGAAGGCAGCUCACUAAAUUGUAACUGACGCUCAUGCACGAAAGCGUGGGGAUCAAACAGG
rnacentral:rRNA from 1 species